AGAGUUUGAUCCUGGCUCAGGAUGAACGCUGGCGGCGUGCCUAACACAUGCAAGUUGAGCGAGAAAUCACUUAAAGAAGCUUCGGUAGACUUAAGAGAUGGAGAGCAGCGGACGGGUGAGUAACGCGUGGGAAACCUGCCCUUGACAGGAGGAUAGCCGAGAGAAAUUUCGAUUAAUACUUCAUAAAGCAGAGCAUUCGCAUGGAUGAACUGCCAAAGAAUUAUCGGUCAAGGAUGGUCCCGCGUCUGAUUAGCUGGUUGGUAAGGUAGCGGCUUACCAAGGCGACGAUCAGUAGCCGGCCUGAGAGGGUGAACGGCCACAUUGGAACUGAGACACGGUCCAGACUCCUACGGGAGGCAGCAGUGGGGAAUAUUGCACAAUGGGCGAAAGCCUGAUGCAGCAACGCCGCGUGAAGGAAGAAGGCUUUCGAGUCGUAAACUUCUGUCCAAAGGGAAGAAGAAUGACGGUACCUUUGAAGAAAGCCCCGGCUAACUACGUGCCAGCAGCCGCGGUAAUACGUAGGGGGCGAGCGUUAUCCGGAAUUACUGGGCGUAAAGAGUAUGUAGGUGGUUAAGUAAGCGUAGGGUUUAAGGCGACAGCCCAACUGUCGUAUGCCCCGCGAACUGUUUAACUUGAGUACAGGAGGGGAAGGCGGAAUUCCUAGUGUAGCGGUGAAAUGCGUAGAUAUUAGGAGGAACACCAGUGGCGAAGGCGGCUUUCUGGACUGCAACUGACACUGAGGCACGAAAGCGUGGGUAGCAAACAGGAUUAGAUACCCUGGUAGUCCACGCCGUAAACGAUGAGCACUAGGUGUCGGGCUCGCAAGAGUUCGGUGCCGGAGCAAACGCAUUAAGUGCUCCGCCUGGGGAGUACGCACGCAAGUGUGAAACUCAAAGGAAUUGACGGGGACCCGCACAAGCAGCGGAGCAUGUGGUUUAAUUCGAAGCAACGCGAAGAACCUUACCAGGUCUUGACAU
rnacentral:rRNA from 1 species